GAGACCCCAACACGAACACUGUCUGAAAGCGUGCAGUCUGAGUUGAUUGAAUGCAAUCAGUUAAAACUUUCAACAAUGGAUCUCUUGGUUCCGGCAUCGAUGAAGAACGCAGCGAAAUGCGAUAACUAAUGUGAAUUGCAGAAUUCAGUGAAUCAUCGAGUCUUUGAACGCACAUUGCGCCCCCUGGUAUUCCGGGGGGCAUGCCUGUCCGAGCGUCAUUGCUGCCCUCAAGCCCGGCUUGUGUGUUGGGUCGCCGUCCCCCUCUCCGGGGGGACGGGCCCGAAAGGCAGCGGCGGCACCGCGUCCGAUCCUCGAGCGUAUGGGGCUUUGUCACAUGCUCUGUAGGAUUGGCCGGCGCCUGCCGACGUUUUCCAACCAUUCUUUCCAGGUUGACCUCGGAUCAGGUAGGG
rnacentral:rRNA from 1 species